rnacentral:rRNA from 1 species
GAUGAACGCUGGCGGCGUGCCUAAUACAUGCCAGUCGAGCGAACGGACGAGAAGCUUGCUUCUCUGAUGUUAGCGGCGGACGGGUGAGUAACACGUGGAUAACCUACCUAUAAGACUGGGAUAACUUCGGGAAACCGGAGCUAAUACCGGAUAAUAUUUUGAACCGCAUGGUUCAAAAGUGAAAGACGGUCUUGCUGUCACUUAUAGAUGGAUCCGCGCUGCAUUAGCUAGUUGGUAAGGUAACGGCUUACCAAGGCAACGACGCAUAGCCGACCUGAGAGGGUGAUCGGCCACACUGGAACUGAGACACGGUCCAGACUCCUACGGGAGGCAGCAGUAGGGAAUCUUCCGCAAUGGGCGAAAGCCUGACGGAGCAACGCCGCGUGAGUGAUGAAGGUCUUCGGAUCGUAAAACUCUGUUAUUAGGGAAGAACAUAUGUGUAAGUAACUGUGCACAUCUUGACGGUACCUAAUCAGAAAGCCACGGCUAACUACGUGC